UGGGGAAUUUUCCGCAAUGGGCGAAAGCCUGACGGAGUGACGCCGCGUGUGGGACGAAGGCCUUCGGGUCGUAAACCACUGUCAGUGGGAAAGAUGGGUGUCGGCGUGAUAACCGCCGGCAUUUGACGGUACCUGCAGAGGAAGCCCCGGCUAACUCUGUGCCAGCAGCCGCGGUAAGACAGAGGGGGCAAGCGUUGCUCGGAAUUACUGGGCGUAAAGGGCGCGUAGGCGGGAUGGCAAGUCGGUCGUGAAAUCCCUCGGCUCAACUGAGGAUCGUCGAUCGAUACUGCCGUUCUUGAGGAUUGCAGAGGAGACUGGAAUUCCCGGUGUAGCGGUGAAAUGUGUAGAGAUCGGGAGGAACACCGGUGGCGAAGGCGGGUCUCUGGGCAAUUCCUGACGCUGAGGCGCGAAAGCGUGGGGAGCAAACGG
rnacentral:rRNA from 1 species